UACUUGAACUGCAUAUUUCGGACUGUUUCCACACGCUGUUGGAGAUUGCAUUUUGAGUAGA
rnacentral:pre_miRNA from 1 species